UACAGUCAGGCAAGUAUGGCU
rnacentral:miRNA from 1 species